rnacentral:rRNA from 1 species
UACGUAGGGUGCGAGCGUUGUCCGGAAUUAUUGGGCGUAAAGAGCUCGUAGGCGGUUUGUCACGUCUGCUGUGAAAUCCCGAGGCUCAACCUCGGGCCUGCAGUGGGUACGGGCAGACUGGAGUGCGGUAGGGGAGAAUGGAAUUCCUGGUGUAGCGGUGGAAUGCGCAGAUAUCAGGAGGAACACCGAUGGCGAAGGCAGUUCUCUGGGCCGUAACUGACGCUGAGGAGCGAAAGCAUGGGGAGCGAACAGG